GAGGCGCUGCUAUAAUGCAGUCGAGCGAGCUGAAUUCAAAGAUCCCUUCGGGGUGAUUUGUUGGACGCUAGCGGCGGAUGGGUGAGUAACACGUGGGCAAUCUGCCCUAAAGACUGGGAUACCACUUGGAAACAGGUGCUAAUACCGGAUAACAACAUGAAUCGCAUGAUUCAAGUUUAAAAGGCGGCGCAAGCUGUCACUUUAGGAUGAGCCCGCGGCGCAUUAGCUAGUUGGUGGGGUAAAGGCCUACCAAGGCAAUGAUGCGUAGCCGAGUUGAGAGACUGAUCGGCCACAUUGGGACUGAGACACGGCCCAAACUCCUACGGGAGGCAGCAGUAGGGAAUCUUCCACAAUGGACGCAAGUCUGAUGGAGCAACGCCGCGUGAGUGAAGAAGGUUUUCGGAUCGUAAAGCUCUGUUGUUGGUGAAGAAGGAUAGAGGCAGUAACUGGUCUUUAUUUGACGGUAAUCAACCAGAAAGUCACGGCUAACUACGUGCCAGCAGCCGCGGUAAUACGUAGGUGGCAAGCGUUGUCCGGAUUUAUUGGGCGUAAAGCGAGCGCAGGCGGAAUGAUAAGUCUGAUGUGAAAGCCCACGGCUCAACCGUGGAACUGCAUCGGAAACUGUCAUUCUUGAGUGCAGAAGAGGAGAGUGGAACUCCAUGUGUAGCGGUGGAAUGCGUAGAUAUAUGGAAGAACACCAGUGGCGAAGGCGGCUCUCUGGUCUGCAACUGACGCUGAGGCUCGAAAGCAUGGGUAGCGAACAGGAUUAGAUACCCUGGUAGUCCAUGCCGUAAACGAUGAGCGCUAGGUGUUGGGGACUUUCCGGUCCUCAGUGCCGCAGCAAACGCAUUAAGCGCUCCGCCUGGGGAGUACGACCGCAAGGUUGAAACUCAAAGGAAUUGACGGGGGCCCGCACAAGCGGUGGAGCAUGUGGUUUAAUUCGAAGCAACGCGAAGAACCUUACCAGGUCUUGACAUCCUGCGCAACACCUAGAGAUAGGUGGUUCCCUUCGGGGACGCAGAGACAGGUGGUGCAUGGCUGUCGUCAGCUCGUGUCGUGAGAUGUUUGGGUUAAGUCCCGCAACGAGCGCAACCCUUGUC
rnacentral:rRNA from 1 species